rnacentral:rRNA from 1 species
UACAGAGGUCCCAAGCGUUGUUCGGAUUCACUGGGCGUAAAGGGUGCGUAGGUGGUUGGGUAAGUCUGAUGUGAAAUCUCCGAGCUUAACUCGGAAAUGGCAUUGGAUACUAUUCGGCUAGAGGGUUUGAGGGGGGACUGGAAUACUUGGUGUAGCAGUGAAAUGCGUAGAUAUCAAGUGGAACACCAGUGGCGAAGGCGAGUCUCUGGACAGCAACUGACGCUGAGGCACGAAGGCCAGGGGAGCAAAACGGG